GACGAACCGUGCGAACGUUAUUCGGAAUCACUGGGCUUAAAGCGCGUGUAGGCGGGCCGCCACGUCGGCUGCUGAAAUCCCCCGGCUCAACCGGGGAACGGGCACCGAUACGAGCGGUCUUGAGGGGGGUAGGGGGGUCUGGAACUUCCGGUGGAGCGGUGAAAUGCAUAGAUAUCGUCAAGAACACCGAUAGCGAAGGCAGCUUACUGGGCUGUAACUGACGCUGAUGCACGAAAGUGUGGGGAUCAAACAGG
rnacentral:rRNA from 1 species